GAUGAACGCUGGCGGCAUGCCUAACACAUGCAAGUCGAUCGGUAAGGCUCUUCGGAGUACACGAGAGGCGGACGGCUGAGUAACGCGUAGGAACACACCCUGCAGUGAGGGAUAAGACACCGAAAGGUGUUCUAAUACCGCAUACGGUCUUCGGAUUAAAGCAUUUAUGCGCUGAAGGAGUGGCCUGCGUCAUAUUAGAUAGUUGGUGAGGUAAUGGCUCACCAAGUCGAUGAUGUGUAGCUGGUCUGAGAGGAUGAUCAGCCAGACUGGAACUGGGACACGGUCCAGACUCCUACGGGAGGCAGCAGUGAGGAAUAUUUCACAAUGAGCGAAAGCUUGAUGGAGCAAUGCCGCGUGCAGGAUGAAGGCCCUCGGGUUGUAAACUGCUUUUAUAAGAGAAGAUUAUGACGGUAACUUAUGAAUAAGGGACGGCUAACUACGUG
rnacentral:rRNA from 1 species